CCUUCAUUCCUUCCUUCCCUUCGUUCUUCCCUUCUACCUGCCUGGCUUCUGCUUAGCCAUUAUUUUCAUAACAAUUAAUAGGUAAUGACACUGUAAAAAAUAAUGACACUGUAAAUAAAAAAUAAAAAAAGACACUAUAAAGACUUUGAGGGCAAAACCUUGUCUUCAUUUUUUAUCAUCCCUGAGCCCAGUACUGUACCUUGGCAGCGAUUUGACGGAAUCAGCGAGCUCUGAUUUAUCUCAAAGUGUGUCCAGGGCAGCGCCGCUGGGCUUCGGCGAGUGUGAGGAGGAGGAGCGGAAGGCGGAGGCGGGCUCUCACUCACAGCCCGCAGAGCGGAGGCCGUGAACGCACACCUUGAAUGUCAGCGUGCAGGAGAACCGGGGCCCCACUUUCAAUUCCAGACGGAAAAACCUGGAGAAAUGACACCGUUUUCUCACGCUUUGCUGAGGAGCUGAAGCAGGGUGAGUGCGUUGGAAAGUGUGGAUCCUCAUCCCUCCUUGCCGAAAAGUCACUUUAGCAAAACUCAAAAAGAGAAGGGCGGUGAAAAGGAAGAAAUAAGCAAAGGAAGCAGAUUCCAGAAAACUUUGUCAGCUGGAUGGAGUUCCAGUCUCCGUUACAGUUUCUACUGGGAAGCGGACCAUGGUGGCCUCAGGAGCACUGUUCUCACCGUUCAAGGUACCUGUGUGAAGUCAGGGACACCCUUUGCAUCCAUUUCUUCAUUUAACCUGUAGUGUUUAAAAUUACAUCAGAAAGUUAUUAAUAAAUAUUAGAAAUAAGAACCCUUGUUCUGUAUUAAAAACAGUGGAAAUACUUUGCCAUACGUGCUUCAAACUCCGCAUGAGUUGCAGAAAACCCCGAAGUGGAAACGGUGAGCUGAGAGAAUAGACACUUCUGCACCAGCAGCCCCAUCACUUGUGGCAAGGAAAAAUUUUAGUAGACUCUUC
rnacentral:lncRNA from 1 species